rnacentral:rRNA from 1 species
AGUGAACGCUGGCGGUAGGCCUAACACAUGCAAGUCGAACGGCAGCACAGUAAGAGCUUGCUCUUACGGGUGGCGAGUGGCGGACGGGUGAGGAAUACAUCGGAACCUACUUUUUCGUGGGGGAUAACGUAGGGAAACUUACGCUAAUACCGCAUACGACCUACGGGUGAAAGCAGGGGAUCUUCGGACCUUGCGCGAUUGAAUGAGCCGAUGUCGGAUUAGCUAGUUGGCGGGGUAAAGGCCCACCAAGGCGACGAUCCGUGGCUGGUCUGAGAGGAUGAUCAGCCACACUGGAACUGAGACACGGUCCAGACUCCUACGGGAGGCAGCAGUGGGGAAUAUUGGACAAUGGGCGCAAGCCUGAUCCAGCCAUACCGCGUGGGUGAAGAAGGCCUUCGGGUUGUAAAGCCCUUUUGUUGGGAAAGAAAAGCAGCAGGUUAAUACCCCGCUGUUCUGACGGUACCCAAAGAAUAAGCACCGGCUAACUUCGUG